UCGAGAGGCUUCGGCAAUGGGGGAAACCCUGACCGAGCGACGCCGCGUGAGGGAUGAAGGCCCUUGGGUUGUAAACCUCUUUUGUCGGGGAAGAAAUGCGAUCAGGUGAAUAAUCUGGUCGUUUGACGGUACCCGACGAAUAAGCUCCGGCUAACUCCGUGCCAGCAGCCGCGGUAACACGGGGGGAGCAAGCGUUGUUCGGAAUCACUGGGCGUAAAGGGCGUGUAGGCGGUUCGGCAAGUGAGAUGUGAAAUCCCUCGGCUCACCCGAGGACCUGCAUCUCAAACUGCCGGACUAGAGUAUGGGAGAGGACAAGGGAAUUCCUGGUGUAGCGGUGAAAUGCGUAGAUAUCAGGAGGAACACCGGUGGCGAAAGCGCUUGUCUGGCCCAAUACUGACGCUGAGGCGCGAAAGCUAGGGGAGCAAACGG
rnacentral:rRNA from 1 species